UAACACAUGCAAGUCGAACGGUGAAGCCAAGCUUGCUUGGUGGAUCAGUGGCGAACGGGUGAGUAACACGUGAGCAAUCUGCCCUUGACUCUGGGAUAAGCGCUGGAAACGGCGUCUAAUACUGGAUAUGAGCUGUGGCCGCAUGGUCGGCAGUUGGAAAGAAUUUCGGUCAAGGAUGAGCUCGCGGCCUAUCAGCUUGUUGGUGAGGUAAUGGCUCACCAAGGCGUCGACGGGUAGCCGGCCUGAGAGGGUGACCGGCCACACUGGGACUGAGACACGGCCCAGACUCCUACGGGAGGCAGCAGUGGGGAAUAUUGCACAAUGGGCGCAAGCCUGAUGCAGCAACGCCGCGUGAGGGACGACGGCCUUCGGGUUGUAAACCUCUUUUAGCAGGGAAGAAGCGAAAGUGACGGUACCUGCAGAAAAAGCACCGGCUAACUACGUGCCAGCAGCCGCGGUAAUACGUAGGGUGCAAGCGUUAUCCGGAAUUAUUGGGCGUAAAGAGCUCGUAGGCGGUUUGUCACGUCUGCUGUGAAAACUGGAGGCUCAACCUCCAGCCUGCAGUGGGUACGGGCAGACUAGAGUGCGGUAGGGGAGAUUGGAAUUCCUGGUGUAGCGGUGGAAUGCGCAGAUAUCAGGAGGAACACCGAUGGCGAAGGCAGAUCUCUGGGCCGUAACUGACGCUGAGGAGCGAAAGGGUGGGGAGCAAACAGGCUUAGAUACCCUGGUAGUCCACCCCGUAAA
rnacentral:rRNA from 1 species